rnacentral:lncRNA from 1 species
AUGUUGGUGACCAUCGGACAACAAAGAACCAUGUUCUUGAACUUCAUUUGAGAUUUCCACAAGAAAGUCUAACAGUGGCUUUCUUUCAAUGAAUAAAAGAUUUUCUGUUAAAACAAGACACAAGUUAUUAUAUGCAAACACUACAACAAACUGAAACUAAAUAUUUACAGGUGCAUAAUGUUCCACCCAUUUUUGAAAAAACAACAAAUCUUUCAACAACAAAUUUUCUUUGUAUACCUCGACUAAAAUUGAGCCAUCUUGUUUGGCAGCUACAUGAACCAUAUCUUGGUUAUAGCAUAGCUCAGUUUUCCUGUCAUAUAAGAAAAAUGCAUAAUAUUUAGAUAAUAAGUGUACCACUGCUUCAUAUUCCAAAGUGCAGCUUUACUUUUCUUACACAAAAUCUGAAAGAUAUUGUCAGACAAUACCUAGCAUCCCCUUCCACACAUCUACAAAAUUCAACGUGGCAUGGAAAUAAUUUCUGAGUAAAAUUGGAAAGGGAACAAUUUGAAUUAAAUCAGCAACAAGUCAAAAAACCAUGAAGCUUUUGUACAAGAAAUAUCAAUUUGCAUCUUCAUGCAAAAGAAAAAAGUUAUCAAGUACUUCAUGCGUCCAGGAGAACAACUUAGCCAGUAAUCCGUCUAGAAACUGAAAAAAUUACACAUAGUCAUUAGGUUUUAAUAGGUACACUCAAACAACAGGGAAAAAAACCCUAACAAUCUCAAAGUACAAAUAUAAAUCAAAUUAUAGAGAACUUAGAUAAAUCAGUAAUUAUUAGCAAGUUAUAUUACUAAAAAAGAAUGCAAGUAUAACUAGCCCUUUGCUGCAUUGAGAUGCUGCAUCGAGAGGCUCCGAGAAACGUACUCAGAAAUUUAUAUGUUAUGACAGAAUUAUCUUCAUGUGAUUCAGGGGACCUCAAGCCUUACUAAAACUAAAAUAAACAUAAAAUAUUGCCAAGUAAAAAGCAAAAUAUGUAUAUAUAAAAAGAGGAAAAGGGCAAGCAAUAACAUAUAUUACAACUAGCUUCAUAGAACUUAAUAGUUUUGCGGAGAAAAGGAGAAAAAUUAAUUACCUCUCAACUGUAUUAAAUCAUAUUCUCCUGCAGGAGACAUGAUCAAAUUUGGAGUAAAUUAAAGCCCAUUAGUCAAAUUCCAUAAAGUUGAAGGCAAUGUAUAGUAAUGAUCAAUGAUGGACACUGCAAACAAAAAAUAAAUAAAAAAUUAUGCAUGAUAUUCAAAACUCCCAAUUUCUAUUAUUAUAUUGCUUCACAGAAUAAGCACACUCACAGGUGAUACAGACUGGAAAUCAAUUUAAACUUAUAAACAACAUUAAUAACAAAAA